GGGGCUGCAGCUCAGUGCUAGUGCAUCUGCUUUACAAGCAGAAGGUUCCAGAUUUAAUCCCUGGCGUCUCCA
rnacentral:tRNA from 1 species